rnacentral:tRNA from 1 species
GCCAGAUUAGCUCAAUGGGCAGAGCAGUAGUUUUGUAAACUUCAUACAGGCGUUCGAACCGUCUAUCUGGAUCCA